UACGUAGGGGGCAAGCGUUGUCCGGAUUUAUUGGGCGUAAAGAGCGUGUAGGCGGCUAGGUAGGUCCGUUGUGAAAACUCGAGGCUCAACCUCGAGACGCCGAUGGAAACCAUCUAACUAGAGUCCGGAAGAGGAGAAUGGAAUUCCUGGUGUAGCGGUGAAAUGACGCAGAUAUCAGGAAGAACACCCGUGGCUAAGGCGGUUCUCUAGUACGGUACUGACGCUGAGACGCGAAAGCGUGGGGAGCGAACAGG
rnacentral:rRNA from 1 species